UACAGAGGGUGCGAGCGUUGUUCGGAAUUAUUGGGCGUAAAGGGCGCGUAGGUGGCUUGUUAAGCGUGUGGUGAAAGCCCGGGGCUCAACCCCGGGUCUGCCGUGCGUACUGGCGAGCUUGAGCAUAGUAGAGGCAGGUGGAAUUCCGGGUGUAGCGGUGGAAUGCGUAGAUAUCCGGAAGAACACCGGUGGCGAAGGCGGCCUGCUGGGCUAUUGCUGACACUGAGGCGCGACAGCGUGGGGAGCAAACAGG
rnacentral:rRNA from 1 species